rnacentral:lncRNA from 1 species
CGAAAAGACUAAUCCAAAAUUUGAAUUUUUGAACGAAAAACAAGCAAAAUUUGGACAAAAAAGGCCGAAAAUCUACCAAAAAUGGAAAUCCUGCAGCAAAGCGAACAAAUAAGAAACUUACAGAACCAAUUGAUUGCUUACACGCAUGAUUCGAUCUAGUUGCAGCCAAAUCCAAUGAGGAAUCCGAUAAAUAAUAGAAAACAUACAGUACUUACUACCCAUCAAGCUCCUGAGCUAGUAUACAUGUAUCACGCUGCUCACUCCUAGUCCCGUUCCGGCCGCCAGCAACGCACGGGC